rnacentral:rRNA from 1 species
CAGUCGCCGCGGGAAUACAGAGGGUGCGAGCGUUAAUCGGAUUUACUGGGCGUAAAGCGUGCGUAGGCGGCUUCUUAAGUCGGAUGUGAAAUCCCUGAGCUUAACUUAGGAAUUGCAUUCGAUACUGGGAAGCUAGAGUAUGGGAGAGGAUGGUAGAAUUCCAGGUGUAGCGGUGAAAUGCGUAGAGAUCUGGAGGAAUACCGAUGGCGAAGGCAGCCAUCUGGCCUAAUACUGACGCUGAGGUACGAAAGCAUGGGGAGCAAACAGGAUUAGAUACCCCUGUAGUCCCUGUCUCUUAACC